AACGAACGUUGGCGGCGUGGAUUAGGCAUGCAAGUCGAACGCGAAAGGGUAGCAAUACCCGAGUAAAGUGGCGAACGGGUGAGUAACGCGUAGGAAACCUGCCUUCGAGAUGGGGAUAACACUCCUAACGGGGUGCUAAUACCGAAUGACACUGCGAAGUCGCAUGGCUUUGCAAUCGAAGGUGGCCUCUGCUCGCAAGCUACCACUCGAAGAUGGUCCUGCGUCCCAUUAGCUAGUUGGCGAGGUAACGGCUCACCAAGGCGACGAUGGGUAGCCGAUCUGAGAGGAUGACCGGCCACACUGGGACUGAGAUACGGCCCAGACUCCUACGGGAGGCAGCAGUCGAGAGGCUUCGGCAAUGGGGGAAACCCUGACCGAGCGACGCCGCGUGGAGGAUGAAGGCCUUUGGGUUGUAAACUCCUGUCAUGUGGGAAGAAAUGCCACCGUUCGAAUAGGGCGGUGGUUU
rnacentral:rRNA from 1 species